AUUGAACGCUGGCGGCAUGCCUUACACAUGCAAGUCGAACGGCAGCACGGGUGCUUGCACCUGGUGGCGAGUGGCGAACGGGUGAGUAAUACAUCGGAACAUGUCCUGUAGUGGGGGAUAGCCCGGCGAAAGCCGGAUUAAUACCGCAUACGAUCUACGGAUGAAAGCGGGGGACCUUCGGGCCUCGCGCUAUAGGGUUGGCCGAUGGCUGAUUAGCUAGUUGGUGGGGUAAAGGCCUACCAAGGCGACGAUCAGUAGCUGGUCUGAGAGGACGACCAGCCACACUGGGACUGAGACACGGCCCAGACUCCUACGGGAGGCAGCAGUGGGGAAUUUUGGACAAUGGGCGAAAGCCUUAUCCAGCAAUGCCGCGUGUGUGAAGAAGGCCUUCGGGUUGUAAAGCACUUUUGUCCGGAAAGAAAUCCUUGGCCCUAAUACGGUCUGGGGAUGACGGUACCGGAAGAAUAAGCACCGGCUAACUACGUG
rnacentral:rRNA from 1 species